UCCAAAUUUUUAAUUCGAUGAUGGAAGGUUUUUGGGUACAGUCAAGUACUUAUGAAGUCUAAGUGCGAGUCAAGAUGAGAUUGAUCGCUCCAAGUAAAAUUGGAGAUGAUGCAUCACUGUGUUUCAAUUUAGUAAAACUUUGGCCAAAGUAGUCCUAGUGAGGAGUCACAGGAUUUUUAAAGUUGAGACACAAUGUGGACCACUCUUUCUGGGUUGACAGUUUAACUCUUAGUCAUCCUUGAGCAUCA
rnacentral:lncRNA from 1 species